AUAAACGGAGACAGAGAAGAAAGAAUAGGGUGAAAGGGAAGAGAGAAGAGGGAGAUCUGGAGGGAGGAAUAGAGCGCCGGGAAGGGGGAGAGCUCACCGCCGCUAGGACACCCAGCUACCGUCACGCCGCCACCUCCAGACGCCGUCGUCGCCGCCGUUCGCGAAGAGGGAAGAGAGAGCUCGCGGGUGAGAGAGGAAGCGUCGCGCCAGCCACUGACCUCGCGUUCGUCGUCGUCUUCGCGGGUUCCUGUCGCCGUUGUCAUCCCCACCGUGAAGUUGUCGCCGUUGCUGCAGCUGUCAGCGUCGUCGUCCAUGGGUGAAGCAGAGGAGAGAGAUCCGCGAGGAAGGGAGGACCGCGCUCGUCCAGCCGCUGCACACAGUCACCGUUCAUCUUGCCAGUGCCAUCCCCGUGAGAUCUGCCGUUGCCAAAGCUUCUGGCCGUGCCUCUGUCGCCGGACAACACCGCUGCCGCCUGGAACCCCAUUGAAGUCGGUAUCUGUGUGGAUGUAUGAUCACAUGGUCACUGCAAGUUUUUUUGUCCUGCGCCACCAUUAGAGCCGCCCAACCGGUGCUGAAAUCGCUGCUGCUCUGUGUUCUUUUAUAGGAUCAAUAGCCGAGCUUACAUGUAGCGAUUGAGGCUGUUUCUGCUUUUGGGAAAGCAAGCGGAGCAGAGGCUUCAGUUGCCGCUAAUUUUGGGCAGAGAGAAACGAGUUCAGUUGACGCGUUUGGAU